AUGUUGGAAGAAAAGAAGCAAUGCGAUGGGAACUCAUUAGGCUCGUCACUCGAGAAUUGGAUGACCAACAGUCGGGCUCCCUAUCUUCACCAGGUGAUAUGGCAGCGCCUCUUGCAUCUGCUAAAGCGCCGGGCUCUACUGUGGCCCCUGACUUCGAGGCAGCUGCUGGAACAAUGCACACACGCUUUGGAAAAGAAAAUAGGGGAGAUUCCCUGGUUAAGCUGCGCUGAAGAAACAAAGAAUCACUGUGAGGCUGAAGAAUCAGAGAAUCACCGUCAGGCUGUUGGGGUCCUGGGAUGCCUGAAUUGCAACAUUCACGCUUGA
rnacentral:rRNA from 1 species